rnacentral:sRNA from 1 species
UUGAUACAAUUUGUCAAUUCAAGCAAUCCUGCAAGAAACCCCUCAAAGAAAACUCACAAGCACACAUCAAGGCAUAGAGAUAAUAAGCAGCGGAAAUAAACAAUAGAGGGUCUCAUCAUAGAUUGCAUAAACAAGUUUUUAAGGUUCAAAAUACAUCAUCCAGUACUUAGAAACAAAAACCUACUAAAACCAAAAGGACAUGAUUAACAAACACAGCUUAAAAACUCCUCCUUAAUCCUAAACUCCCCCACAACUAGAUCUAGCUUUCUUCGUUAUCAACAUCUAGAGAGUUUACAAAUGAAUUAGAGUUCUCAGGGACUAGUUCAUAAUCUCCCCCUGCUUGCAUGACAUAAUUGAUCAAAAACUCUAUCUAGACACUCUACCAAUUAAACCAGACACUGAGUACAGGACAAGGACACCAUACCUUCCAUACGUGUCGUUAUUGUCGUCAACAAAGUAGAGACAUAUCUCAAAUCUACAGGUAAGGAUGUGCGAAACACAUACUCUAGAUUAAACAUCUUUCGCAUACGCCGGGCAUUGCUGCGUGUUCUCCCAUCGCUAGGGUUUCGGCGUGAGAGCUCAAUUUUCUGGGUUUUCUCACUUGUUUCAUUCGAUAGAUCCCUUUAUGCAAACCAUAGAAACUCAAAACCAAAAAUCAGUGCUAACCGGAUUUUGGUCCGGUCAAAUCUCAUAAAACACAAUAACCACCAUAAAACAAAAUCGAACAACCCAAUUAGCUUAUAGAAUUGAACUAAGUACCACUGAAAAUUAACUCAUUUUUCUGAAGCCAUCUUGAUAUACACAGAACAAGUCCCCAUUAGUAUCAGCACAGUAAUAACCAUCUCUCCCUCAUACUGAGGUCCAGAACUG